CCCUGGCUGGUGUAGCUCAGUGGAUUGAGUGUGGGCCUGCGAACCAAAGGGUCGUGGUUCGAUUCCCAGUCAGGGCAUAUGCCUGGGUUGUAGGCCUGUUCCCAGCAGGGUACACAUGAGAAGCAACCACACAUUGAUGUUUCUCUCCCUCUCU